AAGUCGUAACAAGGUUUCCGAAGCCGAACCGGAGAAGACCUGUGUCGCAAGACCAUGGUUGGAGGUUCAGUAAGUCUCAGGAAUGUGUUCUUAAUUGAUCCUUCCGCAGCAGAAACUUACCGAAGCCUUCGCGGCCCGAAAGGGUGCUGUUCCGCGACUCAAAACAAGUAUGGACACAUAAUCGCGAGUCACCGUUUGACGACGGUGGCAACAUUUCCAAAUUGCGGGAACACCCUAAAGACUUCAUCACCAAGCGUUCGGGGGGAAAACCCCGGCGUGGCCGAGCGAAAAGGCCCUGGGUAUGGUAACAGCAUGAAGUAUGAACUCCUCCGGGGGGUGAAAUGGGGCAAUCCGCAGCCAAGUCCUAAAGCUCGCCAGGGCAAUGGAUGCUGUUCACAGGCCAAAUGGAAGUGGGUGGGACCUUUGUCGCAAGACACUGUCCUGCUUAAGAUAUGGUCGGGCCUCUGGGGAAACCCAGGGGAUAAUUCUGUUGCAACCGCAAACAAGGAAAUACUGUUCCGUAGGUGAACCCUGCGGAAGGGAUCAUUAUCGAGUUAGGGACGUCAUGUCCCGAACCUCAACCCUUGUGUUAAACUAUACCACGUUGCUUCGGCGGGUCCGCCUUUAUUGGCCGCCGGGCUGCUUUGGCAGUCUGGUCCGUUGCCCGUCGAUAGCCAACUCAACUCUUGUUAAACCGUGUCGUCUGAGUACAUAAUAAUUAAACAAA
rnacentral:misc_RNA from 1 species